rnacentral:rRNA from 1 species
UAGGGAAUCUUCGGCAAUGGGGGGAACCCUGACCGAGCAACGCCGCGUGAGUGAAGAAGGUUUUCGGACCGUAAAGCUCUGUUGUUAAGGAAGAACGAGUGUGAGAAUGGAAAGUUCAUACUGUGACGGUACUUAACCAGAAAGGGACGGCUAACUACGUGCCAGCAGCCGCGGUAAUACGUAGGUCCCGAGCGUUGACCGAUUUUAUUGGGCGUAAAGCGAGCGCAGGCGGUUAGAUAAGUCUGAAGUUAAAGGCAGUGGCUCAACCAUUGUAGGCUUUGGAAACUGUUUAACUUGAGUGCAGAAGGGGAGAGUGGAAUUCCAGGUGUAGCGGUGAAAUGCGUAGAUAUAUGGAGGAACACCGGUGGCGAAAGCGGCUCUCUGGUCUGUAACUGACGCUGAGGCUCGAAAGCGUGGGGAGCGAACAGG